AUCCAGCUAACGAGUCCCAAAUGGGACGAAAGGCGUGUCCCGGAU
rfam:Schistosoma haematobium scaffold328_29, whole genome shotgun sequence.